rnacentral:rRNA from 1 species
UGGGGAAUAUUGGACAAUGGGCGGAAGCCUGAUCCAGCCAUGCCGCGUGUGUGAAGAAGGCCUUUUGGUUGUAAAGCACUUUAAGCGAGGAGGAGGCUACUUGGAUUAAUACUCUAGGAUAGUGGACGUUACUCGCAGAAUAAGCACCGGCUAACUCUGUGCCAGCAGCCGCGGUAAUACAGAGGGUGCGAGCGUUAAUCGGAUUUACUGGGCGUAAAGCGUGCGUAGGCGGCUUCUUAAGUCGGAUGUGAAAUCACUGAGCUUAACUUAGGAAUUGCAUUCGAUACUGGGAAGCUAGAGUAGGGGAGAGGAUGGUAGAAUUCCAGGUGUAGCGGUGAAAUGCGUAGAGAUCUGGGGGAAUACCGAUGGCGAAGGCAGCCAUCUGGCCUAAUACUGACGCUGAGGUACGAAAGCAUGGGGAGCAAACAGG